rnacentral:rRNA from 1 species
AUUGAACGCUGGCGGCAUGCUUUACACAUGCAAGUCGAACGGCAGCGCGGGCUUCGGCCUGGCGGCGAGUGGCGAACGGGUGAGUAAUGCAUCGGAACGUGCCCAGUAGUGGGGGAUAGCCCGGCGAAAGCCGGAUUAAUACCGCAUACGACCUGAGGGUGAAAGCGGGGGACCGAAAGGCCUCGCGCUAUUGGAGCGGCCGAUGUCGGAUUAGCUAGUUGGUGGGGUAAAGGCUUACCAAGGCGACGAUCCGUAGCUGGUCUGAGAGGACGGCCAGCCACACUGGGACUGAGACACGGCCCAGACUCCUACGGGAGGCAGCAGUGGGGAAUUUUGGACAAUGGGGGCAACCCUGAUCCAGCCAUGCCGCGUGCGGGAAGAAGGCCUUCGGGUUGUAAACCGCUUUUGUUCGGGAAGAAAUCCUCUGGGCUAAUACCCCGGGGGGAUGACGGUACCGGAAGAAUAAGCACCGGCUAACUACGUG